rnacentral:sRNA from 1 species
UAGCUACAUUAUACUACUACACUACACUCUACAAUAUAUUACUAUUAUCUCUGCUAUGCUAUAAACUAUCUUCUACUGUUACUCUUCACACUGUCACUACAUGUAAUGCACUCGUUUAUUAUUUCCUUAUUGUAUAUUAUCUUCGCUUAUUCUUAUCUCUUUCCAUUAUACUCUCGCUACCGCUAUUUCUAUAUGUAGAUAUAUAUAUCGAUGUAUGUAUUUUGCACAUCUUCUUUCUCUUUCUUUUCUUUCUUAGCAAUUAGCUACAUUACAUUACACUACUAUACUACACUCUACAAUAUACUACUAUUAUCUCUGCUAUGUUAUAAAUUAUCUUCUACUGUUACUCUUCACACUGUCACUACAUCUUACAGUUUCUAAUCACUCAAUCUUUGAGAGAUGAUCUGUUGAGUAAUAGUCAUGAUCUCUAUCCACAGCAUCUACUGUACUCAUACUAUCACUGAACUCAAAGCAACAAAUAUCAUUGAAGAAAACUGUGAAACAUACACUUCUGUCACUGAAAGUGUGCAAUAAAUAUCAUCUUUCUUUAUAAAAUUGAACUCUGAGUAUAGUUUAGAAGAGAACAUCUCUUCUGAAGAUCUCAGCACAAUUGAGACUGAAAAAAUAGCUGUGAUCAGAAGAAUCAAAAAAUUACAGACUG